rnacentral:rRNA from 1 species
UUAUUAACCCCUCACCCCUACUGAAUCAUUUUAUAACAUUAUAAAAGCUAUUAUGCUAGAACUAGUAACAAGAAAAUGCCUUUCUCCUGAAUGUUAGCCAGAACCGAGAUAAACCCUGUCGGUAUUUAACGUAAAUGCUUUAAUUAUAGUAACACACACCAGAAAACCCUAUUAAUUCCAACGUCAACCUUACACUAGAACAUUACAGGAAAGAUUAAAAGAAAGAGAAGGAACUCGGCAAACCCCAGCCCCGCCUGUUUACCAAAAACAUCGCCUCUUGCUUCCCAUAAGAGGUCCAGCCUGCCCAGUGACAUAGUUCAACGGCCGCGGUAUCCUAACCGUGCGAAGGUAGCAUAAUCACUUGUUCUCUAAAUAAGGACUAGUAUCAACGGCACCACGAGGGCUAUACUGUCUCCUCUUUCCAAUCAGUGAAACUGAUCUCCCCGUGAAGAAGCGGGGAUUAAUAUAUUAGACGAGAAGACCCCAUGGAGCUUAAAAUUCAAUGCACACCUCCUCCCCCAAAAUCAAUAUAACCAAAGAUAACUGUGCAUAAAUUUUAGGUUGGGGUGACCGCGGAGUAGAACACAACCUCCUCGAUAAAUGGGCCAACGCCCUUAUCUAUGAAUUACUAUUCUAAGAAUCAAUAAUUUGAUAUUUAAUGACCCGAUAACUCGAUCAACGAACCAAGUUACCCUGGGGAUAACAGCGCAAUCUACUUCAAGAGUCCCUAUCGACAAGUAGGCUUACGACCUCGAUGUUGGAUCAGGGUGUCCUGGUGGUGCAGCCG